rnacentral:lncRNA from 1 species
AUGCUCAACAAAAAAAGUGUUUUUACUGCUACCUGCAAAAGGCCAACACCACAGACCCUGCAACUGCCUCCUAGCUUCCCUUGCUAUCUCAUGUAUUUGUGCAUGAUCCUGAACACACCAGCACAAAGGCACGAUGAGGCCAGCCUGCUCCCUCCCCAGGCAGAGAGAAGCUGGGAGGAGGAGGGACUGGACAGAAGAGCUUCCACCAACCUCAGCUGGCAGCAAUCACAAUUUGGCCAAAUCCAAUUAACCCACCUGCAACCCUGCUUUCUGGCAGACUGGUGACUCCAGACUGGAAGGGCUUUACAGCCUUGACACAGUGCCAUGCUGCCCGACGCCUGCUUUGUCUCCUGGAGACAAGAAGCCUGCCUUUGGUCCAGAUUCAUGCAGUUCUACCACCCUUCAAUGUAUGUUUCCUUAGGGAUAAGAAAAUAAAACCCAGAACAUGCAGACUCUUUCUUGCCCA